rnacentral:rRNA from 1 species
ACACCUUCAAAGGUAUUCAGCAGUGAUAAAGAUUGAACAUAAGCGCAAGCUUGAAUCAGUCAAGGAAAAGAGGGCCGGCCAACCCGGUGCCAGCCGCCGCGGCUACACCGCGGGCCCAAAUUGAUGUAUAACGGCGUAAAGCGUGGUUAGGGAGUACAACAAUUAGAAUAAAAUUUAAGCUUAGCUGUGAUAAGCUUGCUACCUAGAAAUACUAAAACGAAAGUUAUUCUAAUAUUCCUCUUGACUACACGACAGUUUGGGGACAAACUGGGAUUAGUAGAUACCCCACUAU